AUUGAACGCUGGCGGCAUGCUUUACACAUGCAAGUCGAACGGCAGCGCGGGCUUCGGCCUGGCGGCUAGUGGCGAACGGGUGAGUAAUGCAUCGGAACGUGCCCCGUAGUGGGGGAUAGUCCGGCGAAAGCAGGAUUAAUACCGCAUACGACCUGAUGGUGAAAGCGGGGGGCCGAAAGACCUCGCGCUCUUGGAGCGACCGACGUCGGACUAGCUAGUUUGUGGGGUAAAGGCUUACCAAGGCGACGAUCCGUAGCUGGUCGGAGAGGACGACAGGCCACACGGGGGCGUGGCCAGGGCCCAGGGGACUGCGGGAGGGAGCAGUGGGGAACGGUGGACAAUGGGGGGGAACCUGGUCCAGUCAUGGCGAGUGCGGGGAGGAGGCGCUGGGGGUGGAAACAGGUUUUGUUCGGGAAGAAACGCUUUGGGCUAAGACCCCGGGGGGAUGACGGUACCGGAAGAAUAAGCACCGGCUAACUACGUG
rnacentral:rRNA from 1 species